rnacentral:lncRNA from 1 species
UAGUCACAGCAGUAAUCCAAAUUAAUGUCCCUGGGAAUUCCGUGAUAUGACACCACAUCUUUUGCUAGUGAUUCAUGGUUGAUUUCUUAAAGCUCUCCAUGAAUAUGAAGUGAUCAUAAUCAAGUGGUUACUGGCCAACCUAACCUUGUUGUUAGGAACUAAUACCAUUAAUGCCAUUGAAUACCCAUUGAGUUCAAGUCCCAGAAAAGUCAGAAUCCCAAAUUAACAUUAUCCCUACCCAUGUGUGCCCCUAACUGCUCCUGCCUAACUUUGCCUAGCUUCCUUCAAGCUACCCUAGUUGAAUUUUCUGUCUUUGUGGAAAAAAUUACAAAAGGAUGUAUGUGAAAUUAAGCAACAAUGAUACAGACACACACAUGUUAUAUAUUAAAAAAAUCAGGUGACCUUAAAUUUACAUAUAUUAAAAAUUACAUUUUUCUUGUAUUGAAACAUCAUUUGCAGCACUUUAAAAAUUAGGGAAUAAAAGUUUACAUAGCUCUCUAGAAGAUCUUGAGGGCAAUAAAGUCCAACCCUGAGCUGCUAGCCAGCAGCUCUCAUAAGCUGUUGCCUUCAGUAUUUGCUGUGUCUUAGGAUACAGUCUAAUUUCACUCACUGUUAGGAGCGUGAGCUCUGCCCUAAUAUAAGCAAUGUUACUUCUGUAAUGUGAUUGUUGAAGAGUACAUUCAUCAAACCUUUGAUUGAUUUUAAGCAAGCUUAUUUUGGAGAGACUGAUUUUUGAGUAAGAUAUGCAAGCAGUAUUUGCAAACCUAAGGAAACACUUUAUUGAAUAAGCUAGUUUGUUACUCACAGUGCUAAGCAUCCAACCCCGGCUUUUUGCUGCUAGGGUAAGCGCUUGCUUAUUGAUCGGCAUUCCAGCCCCAGGAUGUUUUCUUAAUACCUAUUGUAAUGUGUCGGCACAUCCAACUCAAGGAAUAUAAGAUUGCCCUGGUUAUGGGAAAGGUUUGGUAUUUUGUUGCUGUUGUUUUGUUUUUUCAAAAAUUAGCAUUUUGUUUACAGUGCUUUGACUAUUUUAUUUGAAAAAGUAUUAUGUUUACUGAAUUAUGGGGUGUUUGUGUCUAGAUGCAUUUGAUUUAAGGGAGGGUGUUGGCCUUCCCAUGGCAUUUUAAAGUGAAAAGGACAAUUGCUCCUGAAAAGGAAAUGUAUGCAGCGUGAAUGUGAGCAUCUUCCGUACUACCCCUUGUCGCUUUCCUUUGAAACACUGGAACCUGUGUAUAGGAGUUUAAGUAUAGUGAAUGGGUGAUUUGGUUACCUUAUAGGUAAGGAGGCUGAGCAUCUCUACCAAGAUGACGACGUGGCAUGGCUCCAGAACGCGAGUAGAGUGUAACCCAUCAAUUAUUAAAAGACAGGGGCUGCCUGACAUUUGUGCCAUGCAAGGUGCCACAGGAAAUGCAUUUGUACCAAAUUAUUUGUUUUCUUUAAGAAUGCCUAGUAAGUACAUAGAGCUUGUCAAAGGGAUAAGAAUGAAAAAUAGUCUUAUCGAGGCAGAGUUCCUUAAAUAAGAAAAUCACCAGGAAAGCCUGAAACACAGGGCUCAGAACAUAAUUUCAAAGGAAUAAAAGGGGCCAAACAGAGUUGUUUUCUUGGCAUAUGAAAGUGUGUUGUUAGUGUUGUUUUCAAAAUGUUUCCUUGUCAUUUGCCAGCAAGUUUCCAAGGUCGAUGCACUGCUGCUCUCUGGGAGAUGUCUAACUUCAUUUUAUACAACUCAUGAUUUUGCCUUUGUUAUUAAGAUGCAUUCAUUUUAUUUAUGAUAUGUGAUUUUUCAAUAUCUAAAUGUAUGAAGUGACUUGUUUUAAAGGAAUAAAUGAAGUGAAAACAU